rnacentral:rRNA from 1 species
CUACGUGCCAGCAGCCGCGGUAAUACGGAGGGUGCGAGCGUUAAUCGGAAUAACUGGGCGUAAAGGGCACGCAGGCGGUGACUUAAGUGAGGUGUGAAAGCCCCGGGCUUAACCUGGGAAUUGCAUUUCAUACUGGGUCGCUAGAGUACUUUAGGGAGGGGUAGAAUUCCACGUGUAGCGGUGAAAUGCGUAGAGAUGUGGAGGAAUACCGAAGGCGAAGGCAGCCCCUUGGGAAUGUACUGACGCUCAUGUGCGAAAGCGUGGGGAGCAAACAGGAUUAGAUACCCUGGUAGUCCACGCUGUAAACGAUGUCGAUUUGGGGGUUGAACUUUAAGUUUGGCGCCCGUAGCUAACGUGAUAAAUCGACCGCCUGGGGAGUACGGCCGCAAGGUUAAAACUCAAAUGAAUUGACGGGGGCCCGCACAAGCGGUGGAGUAUGUGGUUUAAUUCGACGCAACGCGAAGAACCUUACCAGGUCUUGACAUUGAUGGACAGAACUAGAGAUAG